rnacentral:misc_RNA from 1 species
CGCACAUUGCGCCCUUUGGUAUUCCUUAGGGCAUGCCUGUUCGAGCGUCAUUUCAAACUUCAAGCCCCCCUCAUGGCUUGGUGUUGGGCGUCUGUCCUCCCCCCGGGACUCGCCUCAAAUGCAUUGGCAGCCGGCACGUUGGCUUCGAGCGCAGCAGAAACGCGCGCGGCGUCUGACGGUGCAGGCUCUCCAGGAAGCUUCCCCCCCAGUUUGACCUCGGAUCAGGUAGGGAUACCCGCUGAACUUAA